rnacentral:rRNA from 1 species
GUCCACACCGUAAACGAUGAAUGCUAGGUGUGGGGCGCAAGCCUCCGUGCCGCAGUUAACACAAUAAGCAUUCCACCUGGGGAGUACGGCCGCAAGGUUGAAACUCAAAGGAAUUGACGGGAGCCCGCACAAGCAGUGGAGUAUGUGGUUUAAUUCGACGCAACGCGAAGAACCUUACCAGGACUUGACAUCCCAAGAAGUCGACGUAAUGGUUGAUGUGCCCUUCGGGGAACUUGGUGACAGGUGGUGCAUGGUUGUCGU